AUUGAACGCUGGCGGCAUGCCUUACACAUGCAAGUCGAACGGCAGCACGGGGGCAACCCUGGUGGCGAGUGGCGAACGGGUGAGUAACAUAUCGGAACGUGCCCUGGAGUGGGGGAUAACUAGUCGAAAGACUAGCUAAUACCGCAUACGAUCUACGGAUGAAAGUGGGGGAUCGCAAGACCUCAUGCUCGUGGAGCGGCCGAUAUCUGAUUAGCAGUUGGUGGGGUAAAGGCCUACCAAGGCAUCGAUCAGUAGCUGGUCUGAGAGGACGACCAGCCACACUGGGACUGAGACACGGCCCAGACUCCUACGGGAGGCAGCAGUGGGGAAUUUUGGACAAUGGGCGCAAGCCUGAUCCAGCAAUGCCGC
rnacentral:rRNA from 1 species